rnacentral:rRNA from 1 species
GAUGGAGCACGCCGCGUGUGUGAUGAAGGGUUUCGGCUCGUAAAACACUGUUGUAAGAGAAGAAUGACAUUGAGAGUAACUGUUCAAUGUGUGACGGUAUCUUACCAGAAAGGAACGGCUAAAUACGUGCCAGCAGCCGCGGUAAU